rnacentral:tRNA from 1 species
GCAUUGGUGGUUCAGUGGUAGAAUUCUCUCCUUUCAUUACAGGAGAUUGGGUUCCAUUCCUGGCCAAUGUA